rnacentral:rRNA from 1 species
GAUGAACGCUGGCGGCGUGCUUAACACAUGCAAGUCGAACGAAGCACUUUAUUUGAUUUCCUUCGGGACUGAUUAUUUUGUGACUGAGUGGCGGACGGUUGAGUAACGCGUGGGUAACCUGCCUUGUACAGGGGGAUAACAGUUGGAAACGGCUGCUAAUACCGCAUAAGCGCACAGCAUCGCAUGAUGCAGUGUGAAAAACUCCGGUGGUAUAAGAUGGACCCGCGUUGGAUUAGCUAGUUGGUGAGGUAACGGCCCACCAAGGCGACGAUCCAUAGCCGACCUGAGAGGGUGACCGGCCACAUUGGGACUGAGACACGGCCCAAACUCCUACGGGAGGCAGCAGUGGGGAAUAUUGCACAAUGGGCGAAAGCCUGAUGCAGCGACGCCGCGUGAGCGAAGAAGUAUUUCGGUAUGUAAAGCUCUAUCAGCAGGGAAGAUAAUGACGGUACCUGACUAAGAAGCACCGGCUAAAUACGUG